UGUAUUGGCGCAUUAUUCUAGUCAAUUACAUUUAUUAUGAAGACGGGAUUAAACAACCGUACAUUAGCACAUCUGUGAAGCUUUUGGUGCUUGCUUCUUACGCCCAGUUUGGGGUGAGUGCUGGAAGAUAGAAUGUUGGGCGCUCGUAAUGGCAUACGAUUCCGACCCACCAUUCGUGGAGACCUACUUUUGUAUUUGGCCUAUACGUAUCAACUGAUGGACCAGAUAUGACUUAGGAUUAAACCUAUUUGUGGCGAAAGUUAUGAAUAGAGUAGCUUGCCUUGAGUGAGUUGUGGGGAUUAAUGAUCAGCUUAUAUUGAUCUAGCUAAUCAAUAUAAGUAUCGCAUUAUGAAACAUAGUUUGCAAAAAAGACUAAUAAUAAAUGGUUGGUGAGGAAAGCUCCUAGAGUGAAUUAAUAUGAGAUUACAGUACGUACUAAGUGGUAAUCAAGUCGUAUAAACGGUGACGUUAUAUCAUUAUCUUUAAAGGGGAACCGCAAACUGGUAACGGAAUGUAGAUAAUGGGGAAAACCAACUUGACCUAUGACGUAAAGUUAAUCAUGUUAAAGGCCAUAAAAU
rnacentral:sRNA from 1 species